AGUGAACGCUGGCGGUAGGCCUAACACAUGCAAGUCGAACGGCAGCACAGUAAGAGCUUGCUCUUACGGGUGGCGAGUGGCGGACGGGUGAGGAAUACAUCGGAAUCUACUUUUUCGUGGGGGAUAACGUAGGGAAACUUACGCUAAUACCGCAUACGACCUACGGGUGAAAGCAGGGGAUCUUCUGACCUUGCGCGAUUGAAUGAGCCGAUGUCGGAUUAGCUAGUUGGCCGGGUAAAGGCCCACCAAGGCGAGGAUCCGUAGCUGGUCUGAGAGGAUGAUCAGCCACACUGGAACUGAGACACGGUCCAGACUCCUACGGGAGGCAGCAGUGGGGAAUAUUGGACAAUGGGCGCAAGCCUGAUCCAGCCAUACCGCGUGGGUGAAGAAGGCCUUCGGGUUGUAAAGCCCUUUUGUUGGGAAAGAAAAGCAGCAGGUUAAUACCCCGCUGUUCUGACGGUACCCAAAGAAUAAGCACCGGCUAACUUCGUG
rnacentral:rRNA from 1 species